AGUCGAACGAUGAUUAUCUAGCUUGCUAGAUAUGAUUAGUGGCGGACGGGUGAGUAACAUUUAGGAAUCUGCCUAGUAGUGGGGGAUAGCUCGGGGAAACUCGAAUUAAUACCGCAUACGACCUACGGGUGAAAGGGGGCGCAAGCUCUUGCUAUUAGAUGAGCCUAAAUCAGAUUAGCUAGUUGGUGGGGUAAAGGCCCACCAAGGCGACGAUCUGUAACUGGUCUGAGAGGAUGAUCAGUCACACCGGAACUGAGACACGGUCCGGACUCCUACGGGAGGCAGCAGUGGGGAAUAUUGGACAAUGGGGGCAACCCUGAUCCAGCCAUGCCGCGUGUGUGAAGAAGGCCUUUUGGUUGUAAAGCACUUUAAGCAGGGAGGAGAGGCUAAUGGUUAAUACCCAUUAGAUUAGACGUUACCUGCAGAAUAAGCACCGGCUAACUCUGUGCCAGCAGCCGCGGUAAUACAGAGGGUGCGAGCGUUAAUCGGAAUUACUGGGCGUAAAGCGAGUGUAGGUGGCUCAUUAAGUCACAUGUGAAAUCCCCGGGCUUAACCUGGGAACUGCAUGUGAUACUGGUGGUGCUAGAAUAUGUGAGAGGGAAGUAGAAUUCCAGGUGUAGCGGUGAAAUGCGUAGAGAUCUGGAGGAAUACCGAUGGCGAAGGCAGCUUCCUGGCAUAAUAUUGACACUGAGAUUCGAAAGCGUGGGUAGCAAACAGGAUUAGAUACCCUGGUAGUCCACGCCGUAAACGAUGUCUACUAGCCGUUGGGGUCCUUGAGACUUUAGUGGCGCAGUUAACGCGAUAAGUAGACCGCCUGGGGAGUACGGCCGCAAGGUUAAAACUCAAAUGAAUUGACGGGGGCCCGCACAAGCGGUGGAGCAUGUGGUUUAAUUCGAUGCAACGCGAAGAACCUUACCUGGUCUUGACAUAGUGAGAAUCCUGCAGAGAUGCGGGAGUGCCUUCGGGAAUUCACAUACAGGUGCUGCAUGGCUGUCGUCAGCUCGUGUCGUGAGAUGUUGGGUUAAGUCCCGCAACGAGCGCAACCCUUUUCCUUAUUUGCCAGCGGGUUAAGCCGGGAACUUUAAGGAUACUGCCAGUGACAAACUGGAGGAAGGCGGGGACGACGUCAAGUCAUCAUGGCCCUUACGACCAGGGCUACACACGUGCUACAAUGGUAGGUACAGAGGGUUGCUACACAGCGAUGUGAUGCUAAUCUCAAAAAGCCUAUCGUAGUCCGGAUUGGAGUCUGCAACUCGACUCCAUGAAGUCGGAAUCGCUAGUAAUCGCAGAUCAGAAUGCUGCGGUGAAUACGUUCCCGGGCCUUGUACACACCGCCCGUCACACCAUGGGAGUCUAUUGCACCAGAAGUAGGUAGCCUAACGCAAGA
rnacentral:rRNA from 1 species